rnacentral:rRNA from 1 species
UGCGUCCCAUUAGCUAGUUGGUGAGGUAACGGCUCACCAAGGCGACGAUGGGUAGGGGAACUGAGAGGUUGAACCCCCACACUGGUACUGAGACACGGACCAGACUCCUACGGGAGGCAGCAGUGAGGAAUAUUGGUCAAUGGGCGAGAGCCUGAACCAGCCAAGUCGCGUGAAGGAUGACUGUCUUAUGGAUUGUAAACUUCUUUUAUACGGGAAUAACAAGAGUCACGUGUGGCUCCCUGCAUGUACCGUAUGAAUAAGCAUCGGCUAACUCCGUGCCAGCAGCCGCGGUAAUACGGAGGAUGCGAGCGUUAUCCGGAUUUAUUGGGUUUAAAGGGUGCGUAGGCGGCCUGUUAAGUCAGCGGUGAAAUCUAGGAGCUUAACUCCUAAAUUGCCAUUGAUACUGGCGGGCUUGAGUGUAGAUGAGGUAGGCGGAAUGCGUGGUGUAGCGGUGGAAUGCAUAGAUAUCACGCAGAACUCCGAUUGCGAAGGCAGCUUACUAAGGUACAACUGACGCUGAAGCACGAAAGCGUGGGUAUCAAACAGGAUUAGAUACCUUGGUAGUCCACGCAGUAAACGAUGAUAACUGGGCGUAUGCGAUAUACAGUA